rnacentral:lncRNA from 1 species
UCCAAACAGGGAACUCUUUCUAACCAAAAUGCAUGUGAGAUCACCAAUUUUUUAAAACGGGAAAAGACGAUCUCUCUUUUUAACACUGUUGCUGUGAAGUGUAUAUCUUUGUAUAUCAUAACUAUGAUAUACAUUCUGCUAGGAGUAAAGCUGAGUUGUCAGAUAAAAGGCUUCAGUUUCUUCAACUGUAAAAUGUAUGGUGUGGAAUGGCGAAGCACGAAGGUCCCUUCCCCUUCUAAAAUAGCCUGGCUUGAUGAUGUGAGAGGAUUCAAGAUGGAAUAACCAUAAAAAUAGUGUCAAUGUUAUUGCAUCUGAUUAAGGUGGGUGGAUGCACUAGAUCUACCUUUGGAGCCCAGUCAGCACCUAGCAGACUAUCCUGCACAUAACAAUUACUGGGUUAGUUUUAUGGAAACACCUAAGAGUAGUGAAUACGUCUUCUAAUGUGCACCUCUAACCAAAUCCCACAACAAAAUACUGUGCGCUUCUGGGAAGGAGAACUCAGCUCGAGGGACGUUAAAUGCUUGACUUGUAUCAAGUUUUACGACUGCUGAAUUUUAAAAAAAUAUAUUAGCAGAUAAGCUAAUGGAUAAGCUCUUUCACAAACAUGCCUGUGAUGUCAAUUUGCUAGUGCAAUUUCAUUCAUAAAAUCAGAGAAUCCCAGAGCUAUAAGGCAAGACAGAGAUGAACUAGUAAAAUUCCUGAAUUUGAAAGAUGAGAAAACCCAAGAGGUAGUUACAUUUCAUGAUUCCAACAUUGCAUGAUGGAAUCAGGUUUUGGCUCUUAAUCCAGUGCCUGGUCUCUGUUCUCUACCGUUUAACUCAGUCAUCUCAUAAGCAUGAGUUAUUGGCCAGGCAUUUCCACCUGAAACCUAUUAUGAUUGAUUACUAAUAACCAGAAACCAGGAUACUUAGGACCUAGUUGUAUUACUAACUAGUUGUGCGACCUCGGGUACUCACUUACCUUCAUGGUAUUUCAGGAUUCCAGUUUCCCUUUCUAUCAAGUGAUAGAUUUGCUUUUAGAUAAUCAAUACUACAUUGAUACAUUUUUAGGGUUAGAGAUACAAUUUUAUCCUUAAAAAUAGCAAUCUUGUCCUUAUGAGUGCAGAACAAGUCUGUGUCUACAGGGAUAAAGUAAAAUUUAGCUUUCAUCAACAAAGACCUUCACAUGGCAAUUUUAAGCAAAAUAAUCCUUUCCUUGUCUUAUAAGCUUAUAGGUAGGAACCACCGUUCCAUUAUCCUCAUCUUUCCACUGAAACACUGGAGUCUAGAUGGAACAGUUAUCGGAGGGAUUUAUAGUAUAUAAGCUAAUCCACAAUGCUAGGCACAAGAUAAGCACUCAACUAUUUCUGAUUGCUUAAAUUUCUCAAAAUUCUGAAUUUCUGAGUACAUUUGAUGCCAUAUAGACAGCCCUUGCCUUUGAAUGCUUCAGUUAUAAGGGGAAAAACUGCAUAGGAAGAAUUAUAUACUAUUUCUAUAUUUCUAUAUUAUAUUUAUUAAUAUAAGCUCUGAAUGACAUUUAUCCAAUAAAAUUUUAAAAAUCUUCCUAGACACAGGAUAAUGUAGACUGUUCUCAUUGCAGUCUACCUUUCUGAGCUGCUGUAAACAGCCCAAUUCUUGAAUACUAUAUACUAGUUUACUUGGAUAACCACAUAAAUCAAAACAGCCUAUUCAUUUUGCAUUUUAUUGUUAUUCUAAUUAAUAUAAGUCACACAUGUGCAACGUGUGAUGGGAGCCAUUUAUAAAUUAAUAAAUAAACAUUAAACACACUUCAAAAGGACUGUGACAUAAAAAUAAUGACUCGCUUAAAAAAAAAAGAAAGAAAGAAAAAAGAGGCUAUUGUUCAAAAGCCGUUUGUUAGACUAUUGGUUGAUAAGCAAACAAAUAGAAAAAUAACAGUGAGAAAUUUCAAACAGUAACCCCUCUGGAGGGAAACAAAGCAGUUCAAUAGACAUAUAUAGCUAUACACAAAAGACUUGAGUUAAGGGUAAUUAAAAAAAAAAAUUCUGAGAAAGUGAUAAGCUCAGUGAAUAUCCUCUCAAAAGAAAGGAAGGGAAACAGAAACCCAGGAUUUAAAUAGUAUCUCGUGACUUUCCAAAGCUUUUUAUCCCAGGACCCAUCCACUUUACAAGAAUGAAUUCAUUAACUUUCCACAUAUUCUUUUGAUUGUAGGUACAGGCUAUGUUAUCCCAAGGUUUUGAAGACAGAAGAGAUGGAAGCAGAGGGAACACCCAUGGCAUGGCAUCAGUAAUCAGCCUUGGACUCUUCUCUCAAAUCUAACUGCUCCUGCAACUCUUCCAAGUGCCCAUCUUACCUGGAUGAGUGCAGACCAAUGGAUAACACAGAUGAAAGCCAUGUUACCACAACACUUGAUAUUUCAAAUAGGACUCUUCUUCUGGCCUAUGAGCUAGCUUUGUAGACGCUGCCUCACUGAUCAUUACAGCACAUUUGAGGAAGGAAGGAGUGGCCUCCGCCCUCAUGUAAUGGAUGGGGUAGCAACUGCUUAAGGCCAGUACAUGAUGUGGCUGAAAACAAAGCCAUAUGCCCCAAACUCUCAGAUCACGGCACCAGCCACCAUUUCUGGAAUUAAGUGUGUCUCUUUGCGGGUAGCUACCAGUAAAGAGAGCUGAUUACCAAGGUCGGCAGAUGUGGAAGCAGAUGAGAGUAAGAUGCUACUCACUGUUACCCAAAGCAGCCAAAGGCACUCCUCAUUUGUUACUGAAACAUUUAUUAUAACAGGGCUUCUAGAAGGGGCAAUGGAAGGAAGGGGGAAAACAUGGAAGAAUGAGUCAGAUAUGAACAUGCCACUCAAAAAUUUACAUGCAUUCAUUCAGCAUUCAUUCAACAAUUAGAAGCCUCCCAGGUGCCAGUCACACCAUGGGGGACAUAAAUGCAAAUCAGACAUUGCCUUCAAGAAGAUGACCCUAAUGGCCUGAUCAGAUACUUUGAACUUAUAUAGCAAUACAUAUUAAAUACAAGUUAUGCCCAGGUUGUUAGGGACGUGUAAAAGAACACUGGUGUCAGCUUAAAUAAGUCAGGGGAGGCUCCUCAAAGUACUUGUGCCUUGUGCUGAGACCUGCAAGAUAAAUAGUGAUUAAUUAGCAGAGGGGUGUGCAAGGAGAAGGAUGAGUUCCUGAGGGGUUGCUGUGCAAAACUGGAAGUUUUAACUUUAACAAGUGGCUCUGCUGGUUGAGGCCUGGGGUGUAGAUGGAGGAAAGAAAAACAAAAUGGAGUCCUUCAUGCUUCAAGGUCAGGUGUUUGGACUGCAAAGACUUUGGGGACCUAUGAGGAUUAUAAGGACAUUCUGGAGGACCGACGUAAUAGGUAGCACAUGGGCCAGUAUGGGAUGUAGCAGCCAACACUUUCGCUGUAUGGUGCCUGGGUAUUCAAAGCAUGGUUAUCUGGUCCCAUGAAGGCUGGGGAUGAUGGAAGCCCCAGGAAAGAGGGGCAGAAGUUCAGGAGACAGAGGUUAACUCCUCUGCUCUCUGCUCUGACCUCCAUGCCUUCCUUAGCUAGACCAGACUAGAACUUCUGGGGUUAACACAAAGCAACACUCUAGGAUAACAGUGCAGUAGUUGACCAAGCAUCUCCCCCAUUUUCUAUCCUGAAAGGGAUAUGAGGCAUUCAAAGAACUCAGCUUCCUGCCCAGGACUUUGGAACAUCUUGUUGCAUUAUGAGCACAGCGUUGGCACACAUGUUCUCCAUGCUUGUCACCACUGCGCACCAAGACAGGGCAGGAUACGUGUGGUGAGUACCUUCGUGCCUGUGUGUACACCUGCAUCAUGAGAUAUAACCAUGAACUUGUGUGACUAAACACCCUAUUUAUAUAGAAGGGUUUGUAUAAUGUUUUAUAUACUUUUCAGACAUGUUGCCCCAAGGAUUAUCUCAUUUCAAUCUUUACAACAUGCCCGGGAGUACGCAAGACAUGUCUGCUGAUGACUAGAGAAUAUGAAACUUGGAGAGUUCAAAGACCCACCUGGGUUAAAAUAGAAAAUGUGAUAAAGAGCCAGACUCUACACAAGGCUUCUUGGCUCCUUCCCUAUCCAGACAUAACCUCAGACCCCCUAAUGAGGCUGAGCAAGUCUGAAAAGUUGGGUGAUGGAUAAGAUCACUGGUGGACCCAAAACAGGUAAGAUCCCUGAGAAAGGCAGAGUAGCAUCCCUCCCCCCUUAGUCCAUGAUGUGUCCCAGCAAGUUCUUGGGUGUGUCAAUGACUGAACAGAGUUAGAAAAUCCUCAAAGGUAGCCUACAGAUAGGAUCAGAACCAUGUCUUGUCUACUUUCAAACUCCUUUCCUAUCUUGGUGGAAACAGGAAGUCAGUUCUGCCUGAAGACCCCCGACCCAGCGUUUCUAGUGCCUAAGAUUCAGGCCCACGUGUGCGUCCAGGAGGAAAAACAGGAAUAUCUCUUUUGAUUGCACUUUGCAGAUACUUCAUUUUUUACAUAUUGAAGGGUUUUGGCAAUUUUGCAUUGAGCAAGUCUAUCAGCACCAUUUUCCAACAGCAUUUGCUCAUUUCAUGUCUCUGUGUCACGUUUUGGUAAUUUAAAUAUUUCCAACUUUUUCAUUAUUAUUAUGUCUGUUAUGGUGAUCUGUGAUCAGUGAUCUCUGAUGUUACUGUUGUAAUUGUUUUGGUAAUUGUAUAAGACAGCAAACUUAACUCAUAAAUGUGUGUUCUGACUGCUCCACCAACCAACUCUUCUCCCAUCUCUCUCCCUCUUAUUGGGUCUCCCUAUUCCCUGAGAAUCAACAAUAUUGAAAUAAGGUGAAUUAAUAACCCUACAAUGGCCUCCAAGUGUUCAAGUGAAAGGAAGAGUCACAGAUCUCUCACAAUAAAUCAAAAGCUCGAAACGA